rnacentral:rRNA from 1 species
UACGGAAGGGGCAAGCGUUGUUCGGAAUCAUUGGGCGUAAAGGGCGCGUAGGUGGUUCUGUAUGUCUACCGUGAAAGCAUACAGCUCAACUGUAUUUUUGUCGGUAGAAACUGCAGGACUUGAGGCUGGGAGGGGCUGGUGGAAUUCCCUGUGUAGCGGUGAAAUGCGUAGAGAUGGGGGAGAACACUCGUGGCGAAGGCGGCCAGCUAGACCAGUUCUGACACUGAGGCGCGACAGCGUGGGGGAGCAAACAGG